rnacentral:tRNA from 1 species
CCCCUCAUGGCUCAGUGGUAAUCAUCUGCCUGCAAUGCCAGGAGACCCAGGUUCAAUUCCUGGUGUUGGGA